ensembl:lncRNA
AAACCACUAAUUUCUGUGGUCACUUUAUGUAUCUUUUUUCUUCUUCCAUGAAAAAAAACCGACAUCUAUCCUUUUUUUUUGUUUACAUCCUGUAAGGUAAGACAGAUCUGGAUAUCUCUUUAUCUUUCUAACCUGUCAGGUUACUUUGCUUAAUGUAAAUGAACAAUUAAUUUAAAAUAGAAAAGGACAGUAAUUCAAGAGGUAGAAGAAGUGGAUCAGACAAGAAGCAACUGAUGUGACAGAGAGCAACCACAGCCGCAUAACGUGCACUUGAGAACAGAAGUGCACAUAUACCUCUGAUUUCCACACAAGUGUUGUUAAUGAUCUCACUGCCAUGUGGUGCCACCUUCAUAUUUAGUUUUGGUUGUUAUUCUGGCUAUAAGAGUACGCUGUCUACUUGUGUGGCUGCAAACUCAGACCUGUGCAGAGCUGUGUUACCUAAGAUUUAAUGCAUCCGUACCAUAUUUGCACACCUCUCCAAGUUCCUGGAGAAAUUAAAGGUCCAAAGUUCAGCUUUAUGUUAAUAGAUCUGGAUAUGCCCAAUAUUUAACUUCCACGGACAAAGGAACUGCAUGAAGAGCUGGCUUGUCUUGCUGCAUUUUGAAGGUGUCAGCACUGUGCGCUGCAGAACUUCAUGCAACCUUAGGGAAAAAAAGAAAAAAAAAAAGCCAAGUGUAUGCUCAGUGGAAAACAGAUGGAUUUUUCAUUAGAUAUAACUGUUAAUGAUCUGCUUUAAAAGUAAAGAUAUGCCAUUCUGAGUAGAAGAAGGGCCUCCUCAUAGCUUUGUGAAGGUCCCAGGAUCAUUAUCGUAGCUACAGAUAGAACUGCAAGAUCCUUGUAUCAUUAGGAGUUCCAGUCAGACAUCUCUGCCAUUAUUAGACUUCCAAACACAGCAAAACACUGUGGGGGCCUUAACAAUAUUGUUCCCUAAGACAUGUCUUUAUUUAAUGAUGCAGAGUUGUUAUGGGGCUGGCAGUUGGUUACUCAGUUUCUGGAGCAUUACCAUUUAACCUAGGGUCAGAAUAAAAAUCCUUGAAUAUUUGUUGCAAGGCAGAUCUUUUGCUUCACUGAGGGACUCGUCUUCACAGUCAACCAUGGUGUGACUCCUCCAAGUGGUCCUACUGGCUCUGAGAGGUGACCCCAGCAGUCUAGAAAGCCUGAAGACCCUUCCUAAAAAGAUGAACCCUGCGCUCUGUGCCU